rnacentral:rRNA from 1 species
UAGUCCACGCCGUAAACGAUGUAUACUAGUUGUCAGGAAACAUAGUUUUUUGGUGACGCAGCUAACGCAAUAAGUAUACCGCCUGGGGAGUACGGUCGCAAGAUUAAAACUCAAAGGAAUUGACGGGGGCCCGCACAAGCGGUGGAGCAUGUGGUUUAAUUCGACGCAACGCGAAGAACCUUACCAGCCCUUGACAUCCUGAUCGGGAGGAGUAGAGAUACACCUUUUCAUUUAGUUGGAUCAGUGACAGGUGAUGCACGGCUGUCGUCAGCUCGUGUCGUGAGAUGUUAGGUUAAGUCCUGCAACGAGCGCAACCCCUAUUGUUAGUUGCCAUCAGGUAAUGCUGGGCACUUUAGAGGGACUGCCGGUGAUAAGCCGGAGGAAGGUGGGGAUGACGUCAAGUCCUCAUGGCCCUUACGGGCUGGGCUACACACGUGCUACAAUGGUGGUGACAGUGGGCAGCGAGAUCGCAAGGUCGAGCUAAUCUCAAAAACCNUA